rnacentral:rRNA from 1 species
ACUCCUACGGGAGGCAGCAGUGGGGAAUAUUGGACAAUGGGGGAACCCUGAUCCAGCCAUGCCGCGUGUGUGAAGAAGGCCUUAUGGUUGUAAAGCACUUUAAGCGAGGAGGAGGCUACUGAGACUAAUACUCUUGGAUAGUGGACGUUACUCGCAGAAUAAGCACCGGCUAACUCUGUGCCAGCAGCCGCGGUAAUACAGAGGGUGCGAGCGUUAAUCGGAUUUACUGGGCGUAAAGCGUGCGUAGGCGGCUUUUAAGUCGGAUGUGAAAUCCCCGAGCUUAACUUGGGAAUUGCAUUCGAUACUGGGAAGCUAGAGUAUGGAGAGGAUGGUAGAAUUCCAGGUGUAGCGGUGAAAUGCGUAGAGAUCUGGAGGAAUACCGAUGGCGAAGGCAGCCAUCUGGCCUAAUACUGACGCUGAGGUACGAAAGCAUGGGAGCAAACAGGAUUAGAUACCCCUGGUAGACUGUUA